UUAACACAUGCAAGUCGAACGGGGUGUUUAUUUCGGUAAACACCAAGUGGCGAACGGGUGAGUAACGCGUAAGCAAUCUACCUUCAAGAUGGGGACAACACUUCGAAAGGGGUGCUAAUACCGAAUGAAUGUAAGAGUAUCGCAUGAGACACUUACUAAAGGAGGCCUCUGACAUAAGCUUCCGCUUGAAGAUGAGCUUGCGUCUGAUUAGCUAGUUGGUGAGGGUAAAGGCCCACCAAGGCGACGAUCAGUAGCCGGUCUGAGAGGAUGAACGGCCACAUUGGGACUGAGACACGGCCCAGACUCCUACGGGAGGCAGCAGUGGGGAAUCUUCCGCAAUGGGCGAAAGCCUGACGGAGCAACGCCGCGUGAACGAUGAAGGUCUUAGGAUCGUAAAGUUCUGUUGUUAGGGACGAAGGGUAAGAAUCAUAAUACGGUUUUUAUUUGACGGUACCUAACGAGGAAGCCACGGCUAACUACGUGCCAGCAGCCGCGGUAAUACGUAGGCGGCAAGCGUUGUCCGGAAUUAUUGGGCGUAAAGGGAGCGCANGCGGGAAACUAAGCGGAUCUUAAAAGUGCGGGGCUCAACCCCGUGAUGGGGUCCGAACUGGUUUUCUUGAGUGCAGGAGAGGAAAGCGGAAUUCCCAGUGUAGCGGUGAAAUGCGUAGAUAUUGGGAAGAACACCAGUGGCGAAGGCGGCUUUCUGGACUGUAACUGACGCUGAGGCUCGAAAGCUAGGGUAGCGAACGGGAUUAGAUACCCCGGUAGUCCUAGCCGUAAACGAUGGAUACUAGGUGUGGGAGGUAUCGACCCCUUCCGUGCCGGAGUUAACGCAAUAAGUAUCCCGCCUGGGGAGUNCGGCCGCAAGGUUGCAACUCAAAUGAAUUGA
rnacentral:rRNA from 1 species